GCCCCCGUAGCUCAGCCAGGAAGAGCGCGGGCCUUCGGAGCCCGUGGUCGCGGGUUCAAAUCCCGCCGGGGGCG
rnacentral:tRNA from 1 species